GGGACAGUAUAAUGGCUAAUUUUCUGCAUCACUUUCAAUGGCUAUUUCUCCACUCCAAUAACUAGUUCAAGGCUUCCAAUAGUUAGAACUCACUCUUCAACCAUCCUCAAGAGUAUUUAAGACUAGAGAAACAAUUUAAAAGUAAUAUUAAGGGAGAUUAAGAGAGAUGUCAUUUUCAGAUUUAGGGAAUUUUAUUACACAUCAAAAAGAGAGAAAAAGAAAAGAUUCAAGCUUUGAAUUCAGAGGGCAUUC
rnacentral:lncRNA from 1 species